UACGAAGGGGGCUAGCGUUGCUCGGAAUCACUGGGCGUAAAGCGCACGUAGGCGGCUUCUUAAGUCAGGGGUGAAAUCCUGGAGCUCAACUCCAGAACUGCCUUUGAUACUGAGAAGCUUGAGUCCGGGAGAGGUGAGUGGAACUGCGAGUGUAGAGGUGAAAUUCGUAGAUAUUCGCAAGAACACCAGUGGCGAAGGCGGCUCACUGGCCCGGUACUGACGCUGAGGUGCGAAAGCGUGGGGAGCAAACAGG
rnacentral:rRNA from 1 species